CCUACGGGAGGCAGCAGUGGGGAAUAUUGGGCAAUGGAGGAAACUCUGACCCAGCAACGCCGCGUGAAUGAUGAAGGUCUUCGGAUUGUAAAGUUCUUUUCUAAGGGAAGAAGAAAGUGACGGUACCUUAGGACUAAGCCUCGGCUAACUACGUGCCAGCAGCCGCUGUAAUACGUAGGAGGCGAUCGUUAUCCGGAAUGACUGGGCGUAAAGGGUGCGUAGGUGGUUUGGCAAGUUAGUAGCGUAACUCCAAGGCUCAACCUUGGAACUACUACUAAAACUGUUGGACUUGAGUGCAGGAGGGGCAACCGGAAUUCCUAGUGUAGCGGUGGAAUGCGUAGAUAUUAGGAGGAACACCAGUGGCGAAGGCGGGUGGCUAGACGGUAACUGACACUGAGGCACGAAAGCGUGGGGAGCAAACAGGAUUAGAUACCCGGUAGUC
rnacentral:rRNA from 1 species